rnacentral:rRNA from 1 species
GUGCCAGCAGCCGCGGUAAUACGGGGGGAGCAAGCGUUGUUCGGAUUUACUGGGCGUAAAGGGCGCGUAGGCGGCCACCGCAAGUCAAUUGUGAAAUCUCCGGGCUUAACUCGGAAAGGUCAACUGAUACUGCGGGGCUAGAGUGCGGAAGGGGCAACUGGAAUUCUCGGUGUAGCGGUGAAAUGCGUAGAUAUCGAGAGGAACACCUGCGGCGAAGGCGGGUUGCUGGGCCGACACUGACGCUGAGGCGCGAAAGCCAGGGGAGCGAACGGGAUUAGAUACCCGUGUAGUCC